AUAGGGUCUCAGUUUGUUUCCCAGGCUGGUCUCAAACUCCUGGUGUGGGCACCAAAGUGAGACCCUAU
rnacentral:pre_miRNA from 1 species